AAAUGACUCUAGGCAACGGAUAUGUCGGAAGUCGUAUCGAUGAAGAACGAAGCGAAAUGCGAUACCUGGUGUGAAUUGCAGAAUCCCGUGAACCAUUGAGUCUUUGAAGGCAAGAAGCGCCCGAAGCCAUCCGAACAAGGGCACGUCUGCCUCGGCGUCACGCAAAG
rnacentral:rRNA from 1 species